rnacentral:lncRNA from 1 species
UUGGCUUGGAGAAACGGGAGAUGCUCUCGACCUGGUUGUUGAACCAAUAGAUGAACCGGCAUGACCCCCGGAUCCUGUUGAGCAUCAGCGUGAGGGGCAGCGUGAGGGGCUGAGGGAGCUGGAGCGGGAAUAUAUGCGGGAACCGAGUCAUGAGACGAUCCCGAUGCACGGGAACUGCUCACCGAACUACGUCGAAGACGGGCUGCGGGGCGGGCUUCAUCCUCGGCCCUAAAAAAAAAAAAAUUAAUACAUCAAACAUAUUUUCAAAUCAUUUCUAUUUUUAAUGUUUUCAUUUAUAUAUUUACAAAAGGUUUUAUAAACGUUUUAAAAAAAACUAUUAAACCUUUUUUAUAUAUAUAUAUAUAUAUGUAUACAAAAUUAUAAAAAAAUUAUAAAUAUAGAAAAAUGUUGUUAAAUAUUUUAAAAAAAAUUUAAAAACGUUUUAUUAUAUAUAUUUCAUUAGUGGAAACUUGAAAAACGUUUUUAAAAAUCAAAAAAACGUUUUAAAAAAUCACAAAACGUUUUUAAAAAUCAAAAAACGUUUUUAAAAACAAAAAAUGUUCAAAAAAAACUAAAACAACAAUCCAAACAACAAUCCUAACUUAUAUAUCCUAAACUAUCCAUUCAAUCCUAAAAUUUUCAAUCAGACAACCUAAAUCCGAGAUCAACUUCCAAAACCCUAAACAAUUGAUAAAAAAGAAGGUUUGGGAUGAUUCUUACAUGAUUUGGGGUUUGGGGAAGAGAUAUGAGGG